rnacentral:rRNA from 1 species
AACGCUAGCUACAGGCUUAACACAUGCAAGUCGAGGGGCAGCGCAGUGUAGCAAUACAUGGGCGGCGACCGGCGCACGGGUGCGUAACGCGUAUCCAACCUUCCCGUUACUCAGGGAUAGCCUUCCGAAAGGGAGAUUAAUACCUGAUGGUGUUCGAAUUCCGCAUGUUAUUUGAACUAAAGAUUAAUCGGUAACGGAUGGGGAUGCGUGACAUUAGAUAGUAGGCGGGGUAACGGCCCACCUAGUCUACGAUGUCUAGGGGUUCUGAGAGGAAGGUCCCCCACACUGGAACUGAGACACGGUCCAGACUCCUACGGGAGGCAGCAGUGAGGAAUAUUGGUCAAUGGUCGGAAGACUGAACCAGCCAAGUAGCGUGAAGGAUGAAGGUUCUAUGGAUUGUAAACUUCUUUUAUACGGGAAUAAAACCUCCCACGUGUGGGAGCUUGUAUGUACCGUAUGAAUAAGCAUCGGCUAACUCCGUGCCAGCAGCCGCGGUAAUACGGAGGAUGCGAGCGUUAUCCGGAUUUAUUGGGUUUAAAGGGAGCGUAGACGGGAGAUUAAGUCAGUUGUGAAAGGCUGCGGCUCAACCGCAGCACUGCAGUUGAUACUGGUUUCCUUGAGUUCGGUUGAGGUGUAUGGAAUUCGUGGUGUAGCGGUGAAAUGCUUAGAUAUCACGAAGAACUCCGAUUG